CCCUUAGACGUUCUGGGCCGCACGCGCGCUACACUGACCAGUGCAACAAGCAUCCGUCCUUGGCCGACAGGCCCGGGCAAUCUUUGAACGCUGUUCGUGAUUGGGAUAGACCUUUGCAAUUAUGGGUCUUCAACGAGGAAUUCCUAGUAAACGCAAGUCAUCAGCUUGCAUUGAUUACGUCCCUGCCCUUUGUACACACCGCCCGUCGCACCUACCGAUUGAAUGGUCCGGUGAAAUCUCGGGACGGCGGCUUGGUCGCUUGCGUCCGACUGCUGAAACUUGAUUAAACCAUAUCAUUUAGAGGAAGGUGAANUCGUAACA
rnacentral:rRNA from 1 species